GUUUGAUCCUGUCUCAGGAUGAACGCUGGCGGCGUGCCUAAUACAUGCAAGUCGAGCGAACGGACGAGAAGCUUGCUUCUCUGAUGUUAGCGGCGGACGGGUGAGUAACACGUGGAUAACCUACCUAUAAGACUGGGAUAACUUCGGGAAACCGGAGCUAAUACCGGAUAAUAUUUUGAACCGCAUGGUUCAAAAGUGAAAGACGGUCUUGCUGUCACUUAUAGAUGGAUCCGCGCUGCAUUAGCUAGUUGGUAAGGUAACGGCUUACCAAGGCAACGAUGCAUAGCCGACCUGAGAGGGUGAUCGGCCACACUGGAACUGAGACACGGUCCAGACUCCUACGGGAGGCAGCAGUAGGGAAUCUUCCGCAAUGGGCGAAAGCCUGACGGAGCAACGCCGCGUGAGUGAUGAAGGUCUUCGGAUCGUAAAACUCUGUUAUUAGGGAAGAACAUAUGUGUAAGUAACUGUGCACAUUCUGU
rnacentral:rRNA from 1 species